CCUCUGUGAUGCAGCUUGUCACUGCUUGCUCACUGUCGGAGAAAAGCUAACAUUUUUAACAGACACAGUAACAGAAGAGUUAGAAUAAGAAAGCCUGAAUGUUUAAUCUGCCAGAAACAUAUGAGAAGAGCAAUCAAAUCUGGGAUAAAUAGCUCCGAAUAAGAAACCUCCAGACUUAAAGUGCUGAGAAGCCAAAUUUCCUACAUCUUCUUCAGUGUUCCUUUCUGCUUUUAUGGAAUUGGGCCCAAGGGAGCAGUUGAAACCGUUCACCAAGUGAUUUCUCUGAGGAUGCAUCUCUGUGAUUGCAGGUGUCCAAUGACCAUGUCAGGAGAGAAAACACCAGAAUACUUCUCAACAACUUGGUCUGAGAGACAGAAUUAUUUUGAUGGCUACUUCCUUUCCUAUGGUAUCAGAGGUUACAAAUCAAUUGACUCUGUGUUUCUCCUAUGUUUGCACCCAAUGCAACAUAAAUAUGUAUGCAAUAGUGCAAUAAUAAGUACAAUGUGCCCACAGAAAACAGUUACACCAUACAUGAAGAAAGAUUUUAAGUGUUCUUCACUUUAAGUAAGGAACCUCCAAAAUAAAUUUACUGCUCAACAUUAUUAUAAUAAAAUAUGAAU